CGAUAGCGGAUAGUACCGUGAGGGAAUGGUGAAAAGUACCGCGGGAGCGGAGUGAAAUAGUACCUGAAACCGUGUGCCUACAAGCCGUGGGAGCGUCGGAGCAAGGCUUGCCUUGUUCUCGUGACUGCGUGCCUUUUGAAGAAUGAGCCUGCGAGUUUGCGGUGUGUUGCGAGGUUAACCCGGGUGGGGAAGCCGUAGCGAAAGCGAGUCCGAACA
rnacentral:rRNA from 1 species